GCUAAUACCGCAUAACAACGUUGUUCGCAUGAACAACGCUUAAAAGAUGGCUUCUCGCUAUCACUUCUGGAUGGACCUGCGGUGCAUUAGCUUGUUGGUGGGGUAAUGGCCUACCAAGGCGAUGAUGCAUAGCCGAGUUGAGAGACUGAUCGGCCACAAUGGGACUGAGACACGGCCCAUACUCCUACGGGAGGCAGCAGUAGGGAAUCUUCCACAAUGGGCGCAAGCCUGAUGGAGCAACACCGCGUGAGUGAAGAAGGGUUUCGGCUCGUAAAGCUCUGUUGUUAAAGAAGAACACGUAUGAGAGUAACUGUUCAUACGUUGACGGUAUUUAACCAGAAAGUCACGGCUAACUACGUGCCAGCAGCCGCGGUAAUACGUAGGUGGCAAGCGUUAUCCGGAUUUAUUGGGCGUAAAGAGAGUGCAGGCGGUUUUCUAAGUCUGAUGUGAAAGCCUUCGGCUUAACCGGAGAAGUGCAUCGGAAACUGGAUAACUUGAGUGCAGAAGAGGGUAGUGGAACUCCAUGUGUAGCGGUGGAAUGCGUAGAUAUAUGGAAGAACACCAGUGGCGAAGGCGGCUACCUGGUCUGCAACUGACGCUGAGACUCGAAAGCAUGGGUAGCGAACAGGAUUAGAUACCCUGGUAGUCCAUGCCGUAAACGAUGAGUGCUAGGUGUUGGAGGGUUUCCGCCCUUCAGUGCCGGAGCUAACGCAUUAAGCACUCCGCCUGGGGAGUACGACCGCAAGGUUGAAACUCAAAGGAAUUGACGGGGGCCCGCACAAGCGGUGGAGCAUGUGGUUUAAUUCGAAGCUACGCGAAG
rnacentral:rRNA from 1 species